UGUUGCAUACGAGUUUCAAUAGCGCCUUAUUUACUUCUCCACUGCUGUAGGAUGUGAAGAUGUAGUCUGUGCACGUUCUGCUAUCACUGUCUUUCCUGCUCUCUUAUCUCAUACUCAACAGCAGCACAACAAAAAGACAAUUAUUUACGUAUUACGCCAAGUGAAAAAACUCAGUUUCAACUCUCUAGUUAUGAGACCACUAUUUUUAAACACAUAUCUACAAUGAUACAUAAAGAGUAAGAUGUUUUCCUCUUAUAUCAAAAAGGGUCUUGCUAGGCAGUUAAGUCUAGCCUUGAACUCAUGACGAUCAAUCCUCCUGCCUCGGCCUUCUGAGUGCUAGGAUUACAAGCAUGUGCCACCACACCCAGCACUUACUCAUGCUUGUCUCUUAACAGCACAAAUAAUACCAUGACAAAAAGAGUCUGAUGUCCUCUAUAAUGAAUGUGAUCACUGUGUGUACCUAAAAUGUACCAAUAAACUUAGUUUAAAAAAAUAGU